rnacentral:rRNA from 1 species
CCUACGGGUGGCAGCAGUGGGGGAUAUUGCACAAUGGGGGGAAGCCUGAUGCAGCGAAGUCGCGUGGGUGAAGAAGCGCCUCGGCGCGUAAAGCUCUGUCAGCAGGGGAGAAAAUGACGGUACCUGAAGAAGAAGCCCCGGCUAACUACGUGCCAGCAGCCGCGGUCAUACGUCGGGGGCAAGCGUUAUCCGGAUUUACUGGGUGUACAGGGGGAGCAGACGGGGUGGCAAGCCCGGAGUGAAAGCCCGGGGACCAACCCCGGGACUGCGCUUGGAACUGCGUGGCUGGAGUGCAGGAGGGGCAGGCGGAAUUCCUGGUGUAGCGGUGAAAGGCGUAGAUAUCAGGAGGAACACCGAUGGCGAAGGCGGCCUGCUGGACUGCAACUGACGUUGAGGCCCGAAAGCGUGGGGAGCAAACAGGAUUAGAUACCCUAGUAGUC